rnacentral:rRNA from 2 species
AUGGGAGCUUGCUCCCUGAUGUUAGCGGCGGACGGGUGAGUAACACGUGGGGUAACCUGCCUGUAAGACUGGGAUAACUCCGGGAAACCGGGGCUAAUACCGGAUGGUUGUUUGAACCGCAUUGGGGUUCCAGACAUAAAAGGUGGCUUCGGCUACCACUUACAGAUGGACCCGCGGCGCAUUAGCUAGUUGGUGAGGUAACGGCUCACCAAGGUCCGGACGAUGCGUAGCCGACCUGAGAGGGUGAUCGGCCACACUGGGACUGAGGACUGAACGGCUCCCAGACUUCCCUACGGGAGCCCAGCAGUAGGGAAUCUUCCGCAAUGGACGAAAGUCUGACGGAGCAACGCCGCGUGAGUGAUGAAGGUGUUUCCGGAUCGUAAAGCUCUGUUGUUAGGGAAGAACAAGUUGCCGUUCAAAUAGGGCGGCACCUUUGACGGUACCUAACCAGAAAGCCACGGCUUAACUUAACGUUGGCCAGCAGCCGCGGUAAAUACGUAGGUGGCAAGCGUUGUCCGGAAUUAUUGGGCGUAAAGGGCUCGCAGGCGGUUUCUUAAGUCUGAUGUGAAAGCCCCCGGCUCAAUCCCGGGGAGGGUCAUUGGAAACUGGGGAACUUGAGUGCAGAAGAGGAGAGUGGAAUUCCACGUGUAGCGGAGAAAUGCGUAGAGAUGUGGAGGAACACCAGUGGCGAAGGCGACUCUCUGGUCUGUAACUGACGCUGAGGAGCGAAAGCGUGGGGAGCGAACAGGAUUAGAUACCCUGGUAGUCCACGCCGUAAACGA